AGCCACCCAGGCGCCCCUAGAGAUGUCUUUUGUUCAUUCUCAUAGAGACUUGGAGUGAUCAGGUCCAGACAGGAGACACACAUUUUCGCGCAGCCAGCGUGUGAUGGUAGUUCAAGCUGGACGAGACUAUGAAGAAAUGGGAACAGAUCCCUGCCAUCAUGACUGCCUCGUGCCCUGUCUCUUCUCUCCUUCCUCUUGAGUCCACCCUCCUCCAGGCUCCUGGAAUUUGCUGGACACCUGACAAAGCCUGGGAGGCAGGUUGGGAGAAUUUCAGGAGAUUAAAUGUGAUGGGAUGCGGGAAGGCACCAGGCAUGGCCUGAGGCGGCGAAGGAAUUCCCUCCCGAGGGUCCCAGCCUGGACACCAGAACCCUUUUCUCACUCUCACUGACAUAGCCUGGGCCCGCUUUCUUGGGGGUCUCCCCAUGGCUGUUCUUCUCACAGCACCGAGGCCCCUCGCUGCCACCAGCUCCCCCAUAAGACCGUGGGCUUCCUGUAACUGGGGGCUGUGCCUCCCUCUUCCACCACCGUCGUGGUUGCCAACACCAUUCGGGGAAUAAACCUCAACUCACUCUCUGAGAUACAGAUUUCCCCGGGUGUCCUGUGUUUUUUGUUUUCUCCUCUCCCCCUGGGUGUCCCAUAGUUUUGUGCACUAAAUUUGGCAACACUAACUAACUGCCGUACCCCUGGGGCCCAGCUCAGCGUCUGACAUGGCUUUCGUGCUCAGUAAAUGUUAGCUGAAGGAAUCAUGGUGGCAGUGACGGUGGGGGGCACAGGUGUUGUGGGACACAAAGGACAGGCAGCAGGCUCCCUAGAGGUGAUACCUGAGUCCUGGCAGAUGGCGCCAGUAGGUCACGGCCUCAGCCAGCUCCUCCACAGAGGUGCCUCCUAUAAUGGGCUUGAAUAGUGCCCCAGAAG
rnacentral:lncRNA from 1 species